AUUGAACGCUGGCGGCAUGCUCUACACAUGCAAGUCGGACGGCAGCACAGGGAAGCUUGCUUCUUGGGUGGCGAGUGGCGAACGGGUGAGUAACAUAUCGGAACGUACCGAGCAGUGGGGGAUAACUAAUCGAAAGAUUAGCUAAUACCGCAUAUAUUCUGAGGAAGAAAGCAGGGGACCAUUUGGCCUUGCGCUGUUUGAGCGGCCGAUAUCUGAUUAGCUAGUUGGUGGGGUAAAGGCCUACCAAGGCGACGAUCAGUAGCGGGUCUGAGAGGAUGAUCCGCCACACUGGGACUGAGACACGGCCCAGACUCCUACGGGAGGCAGCAGUGGGGAAUUUUGGACAAUGGGCGCAAGCCUGAUCCAGCCAUGCCGCGUGUCUGAAGAAGGCCUUCGGGUUGUAAAGGACUUUUGUCAGGGAAGAAAAGGGCGGGGUUAAUACCCCUGUCUGAUGACGGUACCUGAAGAAUAAGCACCGGCUACUCUCCU
rnacentral:rRNA from 1 species